rnacentral:rRNA from 1 species
UACGUAGGGUGCAAGCGUUAAUCGGAAUUACUGGGCGUAAAGCGUGCGCAGGCGGUUUGGUAAGACAGAUGUGAAAUCCCCCGGGCUCAACCUGGGAAUGGCAUUUGUGACUGCCCGGCUCGAGUGUGUCAGAGGGGGGGUAGAAUUCCACGUGUAGCAGUGAAAUGCGUAGAGAUGUGGAGGAAUACCGAUGGCGAAGGCAGCCCCCUGGGAUAACACUGACGCUCAUGCACGAAAGCGUGGGGAGCAAACAGG